GAUGAACGCUGGCGGCGUGCCUAAUACAUGCAAGUCGAGCGAACGGACGAGAAGCUUGCUUUUCUGAUGUUAGCGGCGGACGGGUGAGUAACACGUGGAUAACCUACCUAUAAGACUGGGAUAACUUCGGGAAACCGGAGCUAAUACCGGAUAAUAUUUUGAACCGCAUGGUUCAAAAGUGAAAGACGGUCUUGCUGUCACUUAUAGAUGGAUCCGCGCUGCAUUAGCUAGUUGGUAAGGUAACGGCUUACCAAGGCAACGAUGCGUAGCCGACCUGAGAGGGUGAUCGGCCACACGGGAACUGAGACACGGUCCAGACUCCUACGGGAGGCAGCAGUAGGGAAUCUUCCGCAAUGGGCGAAAGCUUGACGGAGCAACGCCGCGUGAGUGAUGAAGGUCUUCGGAUCGUAAAACUCUGUUAUUAGGGAAGAACAAAUGUGUAAGUAACUAUGCACGUCUUGACGGUACCUAAUCAGAAAGCCACGGCUAACUACGUG
rnacentral:rRNA from 1 species